GGCAGCACGGAGCUUGCUCUGGUGGCGAGUGGCGAACGGGUGAGUAAUAUAUCGGAACGUACCCAGGAGUGGGGGAUAACGUAGCGAAAGUUACGCUAAUACCGCAUACGUCCUAAGGGAGAAAGUGGGGGAUCGCAAGACCUCAUGCUCAUGGAGCGGCCGAUAUCUGAUUAGCUAGUUGGUAGGGUAAAAGCCUACCAAGGCAACGAUCAGUAGCUGGUCUGAGAGGACGACCAGCCACACUGGAACUGAGACACGGUCCAGACUCCUACGGGAGGCAGCAGUGGGGAAUUUUGGACAAUGGGCGCAAGCCUGAUCCAGCAAUGCCGCGUGAGUGAAGAAGGCCUUCGGGUUGUAAAGCUCUUUUGUCAGGGAAGAAAAGGUUACGGAUAAUACCUGUGGCUCAUGACGGUACCUGAAGAAUAAGCACCGGCUAACUACGUGCCAGCAGCCGCGGUAAUACGUAGGGUGCAAGCGUUAAUCGGAAUUACUGGGCGUAAAGCGUGCGCAGGCGGUUUUGUAAGACUGUCGUGAAAUCCCCGGGCUCAACCUGGGAAUGGCGAUGGUGACUGCAAGGCUAGAGUUUGGCAGAGGGGGGUAGAAUUCCACGUGUAGCAGUGAAAUGCGUAGAUAUGUGGAGGAACACCGAUGGCGAAGGCAGCCCCCUGGGUCAAAACUGACGCUCAUGCACGAAAGCGUGGGGAGCAAACAGGAUUAGAUACCCUGGUAGUCCACGCCCUAAACGAUGUCUACUAGUUGUCGGGUCUUAAUUGACUUGGUAACGCAGCUAACGCGUGAAGUAGACCGCCUGGGGAGUACGGUCGCAAGAUUAAAACUCAAAGGAAUUGACGGGGACCCGCACAAGCGGUGGAUGAUGUGGAUUAAUUCGAUGCAACGCGAAAAACCUUACCUACCCUUGACAUGGCAGGAAUCCUGGAGAGAUCUGGGAGUGCUCGAAAGAGAACCUGCACACAGGUGCUGCAUGGCUGUCGUCAGCUCGUGUCGUGAGAUGUUGGGUUAAGUCCCGCAACGAGCGCAACCCUUGUCAUUAGUUGCUACGAAAGAGCACUCUAAUGAGACUGCCGGUGACAAACCGGAGGAAGGUGGGGAUGACGUCAAGUCCUCAUGGCCCUUAUGGGUAGGGCUUCACACGUCAUACAAUGGUACAUACAGAGGGCCGCCAACCCGCGAGGGGGAGCUAAUCCCAGAAAGUGUAUCGUAGUCCGGAUCGUAGUCUGCAACUCGACUACGUGAAG
rnacentral:rRNA from 1 species